UACGUAGGGUGCGAGCGUUGUUCGGAUUUACUGGGCGUAAAGGGUGCGUAGGCGGCUUGGUAAGUCAUCUGUGAAAUCUCCGAGCUUAACUCGGAACGGUCAGAUGAUACUGCUAAGCUAGAGUGCAGGAAGGGCAAUCGGAAUUCUUGGUGUAGCGGUGAAAUGCGUAGAUAUCAAGAGGAACACCUGAGGCGAAGGCGGGUUGCUAGACUGACACUGACGCUGAGGCACGAAAGCUAGGGGAGCAAACAGG
rnacentral:rRNA from 1 species